rnacentral:lncRNA from 1 species
UUUUCUACAUAUGAGAACCAUGAAAAUAUACCGUUAGUGCUAAGCCAUUUAGAUAAACAGAAAGCAUCAUAUAAUAAAGGGUUAUUUUCAUCACUGGAAAUUCUUGCCAAGUACUUCAAUGAUUGUACUUUAAUAAAGACAUCUAUGGGAUACUGAGCUAGUUCUGCUCUUGCAGCUAUAUUGACAGAUUGUUUACUAAGCCCCAGUAUAUAUUUGCAAAAUUUUAAAUGUGUCUUCUCCACUUGGCUACUAUCA